GACGAACGCUGGCGGCGUGCUUAAAACAUGCAAGUCGAACGGUAAGGCCCUUCGGGGUACACGAGUGGCGAACGGGUGAGUAACACGUGGGUGAUCUGCCCUGCACUUCGGGAUAAGCCUGGGAAACUGGGUCUAAUACCGGAUAGGACCCUGGGAUGCAUGUCCUGGGGUGGAAAGCUUUUGCGGUGUGGGAUGGGCCCGCGGCCUAUCAGCUUGUUGGUGGGGUGAUGGCCUACCAAGGCGACGACGGGUAGCCGGCCUGAGAGGGUGACCGGCCACACUGGGACUGAGAUACGGCCCAGACUCUUACGGGAGGCAGCAGUGGGGAAUAUUGCACAAUGGGCGCAAGCCUGAUGCAGCGACGCCGCGUGAGGGAUGACGGCCUUCGGGUUGUAAACCUCUUUCAGCACCGACGAAGCGCAAGUGACGGUAGGUGCAGAAGAAGGACCGGCCAACUACGUGCCAGCCGCCGCUGUAA
rnacentral:rRNA from 1 species